CCGAAACUGUGGAUGAACCUCUUUAGAGGUUCGUGGUAGGAGAGCGUUCUAAGGGCGGUGAAGUCAGACCGGAAGGACUGGUGGAGCGCUUAGAAGUGAGAAUGCCGGUAUGAGUAGCGAAAGAAGGGUGAGAAUCCCUUCCACCGAAUAUCUAAGGUUUCCUGAGGAAGGCUCGUCCGCUCAGGGUUAGUCGGGACCUAAGCCGAGGCCGAUAGGCGUAGGCGAUGGACAACAGGUAGAGAUUCCUGUACCAGUGCUAAUUGUUUAACCGAUGGGGUGACACAGAAGGAUAGGGAAUCGCACGAAUGGAAAUGUGCGUCCAAGCAGUGAGUGUGAGAAGUAGGCAAAUCCGCUUCUCGCGAAGCAUGAGCUGUGAUGGGGAAGGAAAUUAAGUACGGAAGUUCCUGAUUUCACGCUGUCAAGAAAAGCCUCUAGGAAGAGUAGUACUGCCCGUACCGCAAACCGACACAGGUAGAUGAGGAGAGAAUCCUAAGGUGAGCGAGAGAACUCUCGUUAAGGAACUCGGCAAAAUGACCCCGUAACUUCGGGAGAAGGGGUGCUCUAUUAGGGUGCAAGCCCGAGAGAGCCGCAGUGAAUAGGCCCAGGCGACUGUUUAGCAAAAACACAGGUCUCUGCAAAACCGUAAGGUGACGUAUAGGGGCUGACGCCUGCCCGGUGCUGGAAGGUUAAGAGGAGUGCUUAGCUUCGGCGAAGGUACGAAUUGAAGCCCCAGUAAACGGCGGCCGUAACUAUAACGGUCCUAAGGUAGCGAAAUUCCUUGUCGGGUAAGUUCCGACCCGCACGAAAGGCGCAACGAUCUGGGCACUGUCUCAACGAGAGACUCGGUGAAAUUAUAGUACCUGUGAAGAUGCAGGUUACCCGCGACAGGACGGAAAGACCCCGUGGAGCUUUACUGCAACCUGAUAUGGAAUGUUUGUACCGCUUGUACAGGAUAGGUAGGAGCCGAAGAGACGUGUGCGCUAGCAUACGAGGAGGCAAUGGUGGGAUACUACCCUGGCUGUAUGACCAUUCUAACCCGCCACGCUUAGCGCGUGGGGAGACAGUGUCAGGUGGGCAGUUUGACUGGGGCGGUCGCCUCCUAAAGAGUAACGGAGGCGCCCAAAGGUUCCCUC
rnacentral:rRNA from 1 species